AGGACGAACGCUGGCGGCGUGCUUAACACAUGCAAGUCGAGCGGAAAGGCCCUUCGGGGUACUCGAGCGGCGAACGGGUGAGUAACACGUGAGUAAUCUGCCCCUAGCUCUGGGAUAGCUCCGGGAAACCGGGAUUAAUACCAGAUACGACCACUUUAGACAUCUGCUGUGGUGGAAAGAAUUUCGGCUAGGGAUGAGCUCGCGGCCUAUCAGCUUGGUUGGUGAGGUAACGGCUCACCAAGGCGACGACGGGUA
rnacentral:rRNA from 1 species